rnacentral:rRNA from 1 species
GUGCAGCAGGCGAGAAUUUUUCUCAAUGGGGGAAACCCUGAAGGAGCGACGCCGCGUGGAGGAUGAAGGCUUUCGGGUUGUAAACUCCUGUCAUUUGAGAACAAGUGGCCGAACGUAACUACUUCGGCCUUGAUAGUAUCAGAAGAGGAAGGGACGGCUAACUCUGUGCCAGCAGCCGCGGUAAUACAGAGGUCUCAAGCGUUGUUCGGAUUCAUUGGGCGUAAAGGGUGCGUAGGUGGCGCCGUAAGUCGGGUGUGAAAUUUCGGAGCUUAACUCCGAAACUGCAUUCGAUACUGCGGUGCUUGAGGACUGGAGAGGAGACUGGAAUUUACGGUGUAGCAGUGAAAUGCGUAGAGAUCGUAAGGAAGACCAGUGGCGAAGGCGGGUCUCUGGACAGUUCCUGACACUGAGGCACGAAGGCCAGGGGAGCAAACGGGAUUAGAUACCCCCGUA